AUUGAACGCUGGCGGCAUGCCUUACACAUGCAAGUCGAACGGUAACAGGUCUUCGGAUGCUGACGAGUGGCGAACGGGUGAGUAAUACAUCGGAACGUGCCUAGUAGUGGGGGAUAACUACUCGAAAGAGUGGCUAAUACCGCAUGAGAUCUACGGAUGAAAGCAGGGGAUCGCAAGACCUUGUGCUACUAGAGCGGCCGAUGGCAGAUUAGGUAGUUGGUGGGAUGAAAGCUUACCAAGCCGACGAUCUGUAGCUGGUCUGAGAGGACGAUCAGCCACACUGGGACUGAGACACGGCCCAGACUCCUACGGGAGGCAGCAGUGGGGAAUUUUGGACAAUGGGCGCAAGCCUGAUACAGCAAUGCCGCGUGCAGGAUGAAGGCCUUCGGGUUGUAAACUGCUUUUGUACGGAACGAAAAGCCCUGGGUUAAUACCCUGGGGUCAUGACGGUACCGUAAGAAUAAGCACCGGCUAACUACGUGCCAGCCGCCGCUGUAACAC
rnacentral:rRNA from 1 species